CAGUUAGAGACAUUGCAGCGCUGCAGUCGUACACACCAUGAAGACCUUCACCUUGAUAACAGCUUUACUCCUCUGCAGCUUCAGCUGGAUCUCUGUCUCAGUGUCUCGGUCUCAGACUGUGGACGUCUGUUAUGACCGGGUCUCGCAGCAACGUUUCAUACUGUGAUGGAUAUCAUUUGAAAUGAGCUCCAACAUCUCCACCCUCUUUCUCAAAAUCAAACAAGUGGAUUUAUCACUCUGGACUGUAUUUUUGUGGAUUUUAAACAAAUGGAUGUCUGAUUUUCAUUGUAAUAUACUUAGCAUCCUGUUGAACAGACUGAGGCCCUGGGUCUAUCUGGUGCAGCUUUAAGAUGGUUUUCAACUUUCGUGUCAAAGAGGAGGUUCUGUGUCUAUGUGAACGACUCUCUCUUCACUUUCUUCUAGUAAGUAUGGUAUGCCUCAGGGAUUGGUGUUGGGACCAAUUUGAUUUUCUUCAUACAUGCUUCCCCUUGUUAUACUGAUGAUACACAGAUGUACCUGCCUGUUAAACCCACAGACCCUGGAAGGCUGAGCUCACUCAAUGCCAGCCUUUGAUGGUGUGAUGUUUUCUUCAGGUGAACUCGAAACAGUAUCAGCACAUGGUGAGACACAUUCUGCCCUCUGCUCCCCUCUGCUGGUUGCCUGGUGGAAUAUUUCAAGCCAUGUUGCAGGGAAUCUUGGCAUCUGGUUUGAUAGUAGUUUAAGUUUGACCAUGAAGUUUGUGCAAUCAUGUUUUUAUCAUCUUAUAGAUAUUUCAAAAACAGAAUUUAUUUCAACUUUUAAAGACACAGAGACCAUCCUACACACCUUCAACGACUUGGAAAGAAAUCAGCAGACUCAGCAAUUUCUUUUUUUUGAGAGUCUUUCCAGAUUUUCCUUGAGUUUUAACUGUUCAUUCUCCUUUAAAAUAUUCUUUCUCAGUUGUAUUUACCAGAUUGGUUUUCA